rnacentral:tRNA from 1 species
GGGGGCAUAGUUAAGUGGGAUAACAGGGCCCUCGCACGGCCCAGUCCGCGGUUCGAGUCCGCGUGCCUCCA